CGGACUUUCCAAGAUGGAUAUCCUUACAUUUCCUUCAUUGUUCAAGCUCUUCUGAUCUAGGUUUUCUGUCACUGGUUAACAGAUACCUUAAUAGGUGCAAAGGCUCAGCGCAAGGUCCUUUGUCCAGGAACAUUUCUUUAAAGGCCCUCCCCGGGCUCUCCUAACCCUACUGUCAGAGCACCUCUGCAGGUGCACCUGUCCAACCCAGCUUGUCCUGUCUGCAUUUGGGUGAUGAGCGCCUGCAUCUGAUCACUGUGCGAUCCAGCUCCAGCACACUCACUCCUCGUCUAGCUCUGUUCUUUGCUGCCGACACUCACAGCCGUCUGGCCAGCAGCACCAGGCUGGGCCCGCAUGGCCUGCUUGAGGGCCAGGCCAGAACUUCCACAGCUCCAUGGCCACGGCACCAGCCUGCAAGCGAAGGCGAAGCUGGGAGAGAUCCUGCUGACCUCCAGCCCCUGGCUCAUCCCGAAAGCCUCCAUUGCGGGCGCCCCCUCCUCUGAACUCCCAGCCAGCAACUCUCCCAGAAACAGGAUGGCUGACAGCAGAGUUCUACAUCCACAGGCCUCCUGUGCUCCUUGGAACCGCCAGGAGCAGUGGGCUGCCUGCAUCGCAUGGUGUGUUUGAGGAGGCGUGCCCAGAGCGGCAAGGGACUGACUCCAAGGACGCAGAGGGGGGGCCAGCCCUGAGCGGCUUGUGGUCUACGAUUCCACCACUGAAGAAUCAAUUGCAAUUACUGCUGCUGCCCGCCCCAGCACCCCUAGCCGCCCCCCCAGCAUCAGCACCCCCAGCACCCCUGCAACACCAGGACCACUCACACCCUUCCUACUAUUCAACCAAGAGCGGUGGCAAGGUCCGUGCCCCUGUAGGCACCUCAGGUGGGAGAACGCCUCUGACUCAGUAGAUGGAGGCCAUCGUGUAUCACGGCUCAGAGAUGCUGGCCUGGGGACCUCUGGGGACCUCUGGGGACAAGGAGGAGGAAUCUGACCUCUGCAAAACCAAAGCUGGCUUUGGUGCUCACCUCCCUCACCAGGAAGGCCUCCAAGGUCUGCAUUCCUGACCCAGCAGGUGCGGGGAACAACUGGACAGAUGUUCGCCCCUCAAGCCCGUCUGACACGGAGGAGGGAUGGAGGCCAGGAAGAGGACAUGCUACGCUGGGCCCCCAGCUUGUCAGCCGCACGAAAGCCCAGGGAGCUUCUCCCUAGGCCUGCACGUUAGAGAGGACUUCCUCUUCCACCCCUUGUAGCCUGAGCAGCCGCUGCCCAAAGGCAAAGUGGCUUGGUCAAGGUCUUGGACAAAUCCACCCCAGGGCUGGGAGGAGGACCCCAGCGGACUCCAGGUGUGCCUCAACUCAGCCUGGCUCCCACACCCCAGUGCCAUCCUGGCCAGCCGCCCACCCCAGGCUUCUCACCCAUAUGCCCACGGCCACGUUCAGGGCGAAAUACAAGGUGAUGAUAAUGAUGUCGGUCACGCUCAGCUGCGGCCCGGGAGCGUGGGGGUCGCCGGUGGAGUUGUCCGCCACCAUCCUGUGGCAAGCACCGGCUCUGAGCAGGAGGAACUGAGGGCCGAGCCAGGACCACACUCGGAUCAAACUCUGAUGGCCCAGCGCACCCAGGACAGGAAUGACAGGACCUGCCCAGCCAGGAAGCCAGCCAAAUCACACCUCACAAGCUGCAUCUAUCCCAAGAGGGAGCCCCCCAUGUCAUGUUUCCCAACACCACUGCUGAUGCCAAAUGUGUGGGGUUUCUCCCACACACACCAAUGAACUCUCCAUCUCUCUAGAGGCCAACUGGGUGUCCUCCCAUCUGACUCAAUUCUGUCACUAACGACCUGAGUUAGCACAGAUCCCAUAGUUUAAACACUUAGUCUGACCAAACUGCCCCCCUUUACACAGCAGGUGCAAUCUUAGGCCUCCUUGUACUUUGGACUGACCAUCUAGAGGUGCUGGAAGUUUCCAUGAUCCCCUUCUCAGAUUCAUAAUUUGCCAGAUGGCUCCCAGAGCUCAGGGAAACUGAUCAGUAACAGUAUAUGAUACAGAUUGUUGUACAGGAUACAGAUGAACAGCCAGAGGAUCAAAAAAGAAAUAAAAAAAGUAAAACAAAAACUUAGUUUUUAAUUGAUCUGAUAACAAUGUGUUCAAAAUAGUAAUAGCAACAACGUAUUUGGUAUGUGUGUGCUUGUGUAUAAAUGAAAUGAAUAAUAGCAAUGAUAUAAGGACAGGAAAGAAGUGUGAUUAUUUUUUUAAAAGGUAAUCACACUAUUUGUGACAGUGCACUUUUAUUUGAAAGUGGACUUGGAUCAGUGAUAAAGUCUUUCAUCUCCUCGGUUAAUUCCUAAGUAUUUUAUUCUUUUUGAUGCUAUUGUAAAUGGGAUCAUUUUUUCCAUUUCCCCUUCAGGUUGUCCAUUGUUAGUGCUUAGAAAUGCAAUUGAUGAUUCCAUGUUGACUUUGUAUCCUACUGUUUUCCUAAAUUCAUUUCUUAGUUCUAACAGAUGGUGUGUGUGUUUGUGUAUGUGUGUGUGUGUGUAAUCUUCAGGGGUUUUCUAAGAUCACAUCAGCUGUAAACAGAUAAUUUUAUUUCUUCCUUUCCAGUUUCAAUGUCAUUCAUUCAUUCAUUCAUUCAUUCAUUCAUUCAUUCAUUUUCUUGCUUUGGUUAGACUUUCCAGCACUACAUUGAACAGAAGUCAUGAAGGAAGGCAUCCUUGCCUUGGCAUUAAUCUCAGAAAAAAAGCUUUCUCUCUUUCACCGUUGAGUAUGAUGGUCACUGUGGAUUUUUCAUCCAUGGCUUUCAAUUAUGUUAUGGUAGUUUCCUUCUAGUAUUCCUAAUUUUAUGAGUGUUUUUAUCAUAAAAAGUUACAAUUUCUUGAAACACAUUUUCUGCAAUGAGACGAUCAUGUAGUUAUUCCUCUUCAUUCUGUUAAUAUGGUGUAUUACACUGACCAGUUUUCAUACGUCUAAUCGUCUUGCAUUCCAGAAAUAAAUCUGACUUGGUUAAAGCCUAUAAUCUUUUUAAUAUAUUCCUGAAAAUGGUUUUCUAGUAUUUUGUUGAUGUUUUAUUAUCAAUAUUCAUAAGGGAUAUUGAUUUAUAGGUUUUUUUUUAAAAGAUUUUAUUUAUUUGACAGACAGAGAUCACAAGUAAGCAGAGAGGCAGGCAGAGAGAGAGGGGGAAGCAGGCUCCCCGCUGAGCAGAGAGCCCGAUGCGGGGUUUGAUCCCAGGACCCUGAGAUCAUGACCUGAGCCGAAGGCAGAGGCUUUAACCCACUGAGCCGCCCAGGCAUCCCGAUUUAUAGUUUUCUUAUAGUGUCUUUGGCUUUGUUAUCAGGGUAAGUCCACCUCAUAGAAUGAGUUAGAAAUUAUUCUUUCCUCUUACGUUUUUUGGGGAAAGUUGGAAAAAUACUGGUGUUACCGUUUUUUAUUAUUUUUUGAGUAAUCUCUGCACCCAACAUGGGGCUCGAACUUAAAACUCCAAGAUCAAGAGUUGCAUGCUCCGCUGACUGAGCCAGCCAGAUGCCUUACUUCUUUGAAUGUUGCGGAGAAUUCACCAGUGAAACCAUCAGAUCCUGGACUCUUCUCUGUUGGAAGUUGUUUUUUUGUUUGUUUUGUUUUUGUUUUUUUCAAUAACUGAUAUAAUUCUAUUAGUUAUAGGUCUAUUCUGAUUUUGUAUUUCUUUGUGAUUUAGUCUUAGUAGGUUUUGUGUUUCUAGGAAUUUGUCAAUUUCAUCUAAAUCAUCCAAUUUGAUUGUGUACAAUUCCUCAUAGUACACUCAUAAUCCUUCCUGUUUACUUCAAAUCAGUAAUAAUGUCCCCACUUUCUUUUCUGUUUUUAAUAAUUUGAGGCUUCUCUCUUUUUUCUUAGUCUAUUAAAGGUUUGUCAAUUUUGAUCUUUUCAAAGAGCCAGCUUUUGUUUUGCUGACUUUUCCCUAUAAUUUUUUAUUUUCUGUUUUGCCGAUCUCUCCUCUAAUCUUUAUUAUUUCUAUCCUUCUGCUAGCUUUGGGUUUAGUUUGUCCUUUUUCUGGUACCUGAAGUUGUAAAGUGAGAUUGUUGAUUUGAGAUCUUUCCCCCUUCCUCCUUCUUUCCCUCCCUCCCUUCCUUUCCAUGUAAGAGUUGAUAGCUAUAAAUUUCUCCAUUAACACUGAUUUUACUGUAUCCCUAACAUUUGGUAUGUUAUGUUUUCAUUUCUAUUCAGCUUUAAGUAUUUUCUAACUCCCCUUGUGAUUUCUUCUUUGAUUAAUUGGCUGUUUAAGAAUGUGUUGGCUUAAUAUCCACAAGUGGAGAAUGGAAAUAUCUAAUUAUUACUGUAAAACUAUUUCUUUUAAUUGUGUACAUUUUUGCUUCAUUUAUUUUGAUAGUCUGUUAUUAGGCAUGUAAAUAUUUCUCAUUAUUAUGUCUUCGUGCUGUACUGAACCUGGAACAAAUAUAUACUGUCCUUCAUUGUCUUUUGUA